rnacentral:sRNA from 1 species
CACACAGGGGCCCCAUACAGGGCCAUGGA